AAAUAAAUAUUGAGUUAAAGUUUGAAAGAUUAAAAGGUAAUUACAUAAUUAAAAUUUAAUUCAAUAAGUCCCAAAUAAUCCAAACACACAUUUUGUCUAAAAAAACUAAACUAAGUAAUUACAGUGAAAAAUUGCUACAGAUGGAAAUAGGUUCCUAAUGACCAAAUUUUGUCUAAAAAAACUAAACUAAGUAAUUACAGUGAAAAAUUGCUACAGAUGGAAAUAGGUUCCUAAUGACCAAAACCAAGCAAUUAGGAUGAAAUCACUUUGGACUUAGUCAUGAAAACAGGUUAUCUUGAAGUUUGGAGCAGCCACCUUCCAU
rnacentral:lncRNA from 1 species